rnacentral:rRNA from 1 species
GACGAACGCUGGCGGCGUGCUUAACACAUGCAAGUCGAACGGUGAAGCGCCUUCCUUUUUGGUGGGUGUGGAUGAGUGGCGAACGGGUGAGUAACACGUGAGUAACCUGCCCCCUUCUUCUGGAUAACCGCAUGAAAGUGUGGCUAAUACGGGAUAUUCUGGGUCUGUCGCAUGAUGGGUCUGGGAAAGAUAUUGUUUCGGUGGGGGAUGGGCUCGCGGCCUAUCAGCUUGUUGGUGGGGGGAUGGCCUACCAAGGCGGUGACGGGUAGCCGGCCUGAGAGGGUGGACGGUCACACUGGGACUGCGCCACGGACACGACUCCUACGGGAGGCAGCAGUGGGGAAUAUUGCACAAUGGGCGCAAGGCUGAUGCAGCGACGCCGCGUGAGGGAUGGAGGCCUUCGGGUUGUGAACCUCUUUCGCCAGUGAAGCAGGCCUGCCUAGUUUGUGGGUGGGUUGACGGUAGCUGGAUAAGAAGCGCCGGCUAACUACGUG